GGGCGGCGGCGGCAGCGUCGUCGAGCGACAAUACAAGCGCCUCGGAGCAAGUCCCCGAACCUGCCCUAGCCAAAAUGGCGGCCGAGAAAGAGCGGAAGUGACAAGGCCGGCUGUUGCCCUGGGGCUGGACAUUCUUCCGAAUCAGUGAUGGACUCUUCUCUUUGGCCUGAAGAAAACAAGUGGGAUCCCUAGCGUCUGAGGCCACUGGUCUAGUGAAGCCCAAGGAUGAGAAAUGAUGUUGCCAGUGGGCCUCCACAAGAUCCUUAAAAACCACAGACUGUAGUCCCAAGCCGUUAGUGCUCCCACAAUUUGGACAGCAUAGGACACAACGUGGGCCUCUGUAAAUUUAGGUCAACCCCAACCAACACAUUGUCUUCUCAACAUUCUUGAACCCACCUUUUAUAGUUGAGCACAUUUGAGUGUCUAUC